rnacentral:rRNA from 1 species
GUCUAAUACCGGGUAUACACAUACUGUCGCAUGGUGGUGUGUGGAAAGCUUUUGUGGUGAGGGAUGGACUCGCGGCCUAUCAGCUUGAUGGUGGGGUAGUGGCCUACCAUGGCUUUGACGGGUAGCCGGCCUGAGAGGGUGACCGGCCACACUGGGACUGAGACACGGCCCAGACUCCUACGGGAGGCAGCAGUGGGGAAUAUUGCACAAUGGGCGGAAGCCUGAUGCAGCGACGCCGCGUGGGGGAUGAAGGCUUUCGGGUCGUAAACUCCUUUCAGCAGGGACGAAGCUUUUGUGACGGUACCUGCAGAAGAAGCACCGGCUAACUACGUGCCAGCAGCCGCGGUAAUACGUAGGGUGCGAGCGUUGUCCGGAAUUAUUGGGCGUAAAGAGCUUGUAGGCGGUUUGUCGCGUCUGCCGUGAAAGCCCAGGGCUUAACCCUGGGUCUGCGGUGGGUACGGGCAGACUAGAGUGUGGUAGGGGAGACUGGAAUUCCUGGUGUAGCGGUGAAAUGCGCAGAUAUCAGGAGGAACACCGAUGGCGAAGGCAGGUCUCUGGGCCACUACUGACGCUGAGAAGCGAAAGCAUGGGGAGCAAACAGGAUUAGAUACCCUGGUAGUCCAUGCCGUAAACGUUGGGAA